rnacentral:tRNA from 1 species
GCCCGGAUAGCUCAGUUGGUAGAGCAGAGGACUGAAAAUCCUCGUGUCGGUGGUGCGAUUCCGCCUCCGGGCA